rnacentral:misc_RNA from 1 species
GAUGAAGAACGUAGCAAAAUGCGAUACUUGGUGUGAAUUGCAGAAUCCCGUGAACCAUCGAGUUUUUGAACGCAAGUUGCGCCCGAAGCCUUUUGGCCAAGGGCACGUCUGCCUGGGCGUCACGCAUCGCGUCGCCCCCCACAAUUCUCCGUAAAGGGAACGUGUGUUUUGGGGGCGGAUAUUGGUCUCCCGUGCUCAUGGCGUGGUUGGCCGAAAUAGGAGUCCUUUCGAUGGACGCACGAACUAGUGGUGGUCGUAAAAACCCUCGUCUUUUGUUUCGUGCUGUUGCUCGCAAGGUAAACUCUUUAAAAACCCCAAUGUGUCGUCUCUUGACGACGCUUCGACCGCGACCCCAGGUCAGGCGGGACUACCCGCUGAGUUUAAGCAUAUCAAUAAGCGGAGGA